AUGGUGACACACAUGAAAAACAAAAGGACAUGCUUAGCAAGCAUGUGUGUAUGUAUGUGUCAUCUGUAUGUACUGGGUCCAAGAACAAACUAUGAAGUUGAUGUAUCCUCUCCAGCCUCCUCAAGAAACAAAGUCAUAUCCCCCAUGGGCCAUGGGCAUGGAGAUUUUGUUCUCUCCCUUCUUGCCUCUUCCAGUACUAGUGUUCUACACCUCACGCAAUCAAUUGGUUUAAUGUUUUCAAGUCAAACAAUGCAUUCACCUUACCUUCUCAAAAAAUUCAAUGCAUUUACCUUACCUUCUGAAAAAAAAAUCAAUGCAUUCAUACACCUAAGAUAA
rnacentral:rRNA from 1 species